GUUAGGGAGGCAGCAGUGGGGAAUAUUGCACAAUGGGCGCAAGCCUGAUGCAGCCAUGCCGCGUGUAUGAAGAAGGCCUUCGGGUUGUAAAGUACUUUCAGCGGGGAGGAAGGUGUUGCGGUUAAUAACCGCAGCAAUUGACGUUACCCGCAGAAGAAGCACCGGCUAACUCCGUGCCAGCAGCCGCGGUAA
rnacentral:rRNA from 1 species